rnacentral:rRNA from 1 species
UACGUAGGGUGCGAGCGUUGUCCGGAAUUAUUGGGCGUAAAGAGCUUGUAGGCGGUUUGUCGCGUCUGCUGUGAAAAUCCGGGGCUCAACCCCGGACUUGCAGUGGGUACGGGCAGACUAGAGUGUGGUAGGGGGGACUGGAAUUCUUGGUGUAGCAGUGAAAUGCGUAGAUAUCAAGAGGAACACCGAUGGCGAAGGCAGGUCUCUGGGCCACUACUGACGCUGAGAAGCGAAAGCAUGGGGAGCGAACAGG